rnacentral:lncRNA from 1 species
GCACAUGCACCCUUCCGCUGUCCGAUGCCUGCUGCAACUCCUGGAUUCCGCUGUUCUUGCCGUCGAUUGCAUCUGCGGACGAACUCGCUACCAGUUCAUCCACACCGAUGCCUUCGAUCAUAACCUCCAGAUCAACAAUCGUGGCCUCCAAAUAACCUAGCUCAUGAUACCAUUUGUUAGAAUAAAUUCGAGGCAUAUCGUCGAUCAUCCGAGGACCAAGCAAUCACACGAGCACGACACCGAGAUUUGUUAACGAGAUUCACCGAUAUGGCUACAUCCCCGGGGUCUGACUAUGGGCGCUCCUCCCCAUGACACCGCUACAAUACCGCACCUGGUCGCCCUGGACACCGGCACAUGCCGCCGGCUUCCCCUGCGUUCCGAUGCUAUUAUGUUGGCAUAGGUCUACCCCCGCUAUAUAAGAGAGGCCUAGGAUACAAGUGUCCUACUAGGACACGACUCCACAUCCUAUGUAAACACGAUACAACUACAAGUCCAACUGUAACCUACCUUGUACACUAUAUUCGACACAACUCUAACAACAUUGUUGUUGGAAGUUGGUUUGACUCAUUAUUAGGCGAGGUGACUACUAGUAUGUUGGAUUCGAAAUUGGUACGGCGAGAGCAAGAGCAAGGUUAACUUUGAAAAGACAAAGUGCAUAUAGGGGAUAGUAUGUGGGUGCUCGUUAUGGCCUGACUUCGUUCGGUUAAACAUUGUGUUCGCUCACUAGCUGAAAAAAAAGUUGUGCUAAAACUUUUUAUCAAAAAAAAAUUGUGCUAAACUGGUUUAUAAUUACUGGGUAAGCCAAAAAGGACCAACACAAGAUCAUGCCGGUGCGAGGAUCCAGCGAUGAUUCGUCUACUCAGCUCGGAGGACAACAACUGAUACAUAAGCGAGCACAGGGCCAAGCCAUCGCAGUUCAACGACGACAAGUUAAAGUUAUGUGUGUUUGCUCGGUGAGUGUCAUGUUCGCCUUCUGGACAUCAUUUCUGGUAGGCCGACAUAGUCGGUGUGUUUCAUGUUGACUCCUUUAUAUUUUUGGCAGGGAAGCCAAAGAAGUUGAACACUCGAUCUUGCGAUGUGAGUGCCUGGCAGUGAUAAGGCUACUGAUUUACAAUGCGAGUUACUAGUUGUCCGUCCAAUUUGUACAAUUUGAUUUUCUCUUGUAAGCUAGGAUUUUUCUAAACCUGUAUACAUUUUACGUAAGCAUGUGUUAGUGGG